rnacentral:rRNA from 1 species
UGGGUAACCUGCCUUAUAGUGGGGGAUAGCCUUUCGAAAGGAAGAUUAAUACCGCAUAAGAUUGUAGUAUCGCAUGAUAUAGCAAUUAAAGGAGCAAUUCGCUAUAAGAUGGACCCGCGUCGCAUUAGCUAGUUGGUGAGGUAAUGGCUCACCAAGGCGACGAUGCGUAGCCGACCUGAGAGGGUGAUCGGCCACAUUGGGACUGAGACACGGUCCAGACUCCUACGGGAGGCAGCAUG